UUUCCUACCCUACACACGAACAGAUUAACAAACAUGGAGAGAGGAUCGCGUGCUACGCGUCCGGACUCGACCUGCUCCCUCUUCUUAUUCGCCUCUCCUCUCCUCGCUCUCCCCGUAUCGCGUCGUGCGUCUUCUUCCUUCUUGAUCUGUUAGCCGCAGAAGAUGACGUCCGCCGGCUUCCGGUUCACCCUCCCUUCCCCAUCUCUAACCUCUUCGAUCCCCCACGCAAAGCUCAAAUGCCGCACUCCCGCUAUUGCGCUUCUCAACGGCGGGAUCAGCGGAAGAACCACCGGCGGAUUCGAUCCACUCAGGCUUCUGGGUCCACCUCCUCCCGCUGUCGCCAUACCGCCGAUGAGGAGACAACAGACGGAACGCCGUGGCGGCGUCGUCUGCUAUUGUGCGCCGCUCAACCCCCAAACCCUUCAAUGGGUUUCUGCUGUCUCGGUCGCGGUAUUAAUGUUUGCCAAAGGCACAGCUAUCCAGAAAUCAUUUCUUGUCCCUCUUUUUGCUCUGCAAGCACCAACGUCCGUCAUUUCAUGGAUCAAGGGUGACUAUGGUACUUGGACUGCAUUUCUGGCGCUUCUGGUUCGUCUGUUCUAUUUUGUUCCAGGUGGACUUGAGCUACCAUUCCUAGCAAUGUUACUUGUCAUUGUGGCUCCGUACCAAACAAUGAAUUUAAGAGGAACCCAAGCUGGUGCAAUUGUUUCAUUGGCAAUAGCUGGGUACUUGGCAUUUCAACAUUUUUCAAGGGUGGGAGGGUUGCGAAAAGCAUGCGACCAAGGAUCCAUAGUCGCAACUUCAGCUGUCAUAUGUAGCCUCAUCAUUCCUUGGUUCUUCUUGUUCUGAUCUUAUUUGUACAAGAAGUUGUCAAGGAAUCUAGAACUAUAAGAGGCGUCAAAAGGAGCGUGUCACUCUCGUCACCCGCUGGUACAUCUGAAACUUUGGAGAGCAAAGCAGCCCGUUCAACAAGCAGCCAACUAGCAAAAGGAUGAUCAUGGCAAGGAAUUUGACACUUCUCAGGUUUAGAAGUCACCGGUGCAUGUGCUUCACAAAUCAACAUGGCUGGGACAAGGACCACCAAAUCUGAAGGUUUGGUCAUACAGGCUGGGAGCUUCUACCAUCUUUAUUUCAAGGAUGAACAACCUUCCUGCUAUACAUGAACCCACUCCUGCAGACUUCUCUGGAAAUUCAAUGCCACUGUGCUUGAUGCCAUCUUAAACUGCACUCCUUUUGUUGACAAUUCUAACACGGUAUGAUUAUCAGACUGGGAGCUUCCACCAACUUCAUCUCAAGGAUGAACAACUUCUCUGCUGUAGGUGAACUCACUGUUGCUGAUUAGUUCUUUAUAAGCUGGUCUUGGUCUUCAGAACAGCACGGAGCAGUGAAGCCAGAUCCAGAGGUCAUCAAAUGGGCCAUCCCAGGGAGGAUUCAGUGAACCCAUCUACUACAGUGCAUUUUGCACAGGAUUAUGGAGACUCUCCUUUGGAAAGAGCAAGAUCAAACAAAAAUUACACCAUUGCAGCAGUGCAUGUUUUGCCUACAUGAAAUUGAAUUAUGUAGACUUAUGUGAGUUCUGUUAUUGAGUACAUCCUUGUCCUUUUCAGGAUCAAAGUUUCGGGUGCCUUGCCACUGUGACUGACACCAUCAGGAGCUUACGGACUCGCGUCUUUGUCUCCCACCGAGAUUUGAGUGAGAGAUUGGUAUCUCAAAAUUAACAUGGAUCAUAGUCAUGCCAUCUACUAAUGGAGGUACAUUUACGAUCCAUGAGCCAGCCAACUCCAUUGAACGGUUCCUUGUCGCUUGUGUAGGACAAGCUUCACUCAUAACCUCUAUGAUUUAGUGAUGCAAAGAUGACAAAUGCUACUAGAGAAGAAGCUGCAUGUCCUCUUGAGCAAGACAGCCACCCACCAACCCAAGUGUUUUUAUGGUGGGAUAAUUCAGUGCAUCAUCUAAUGAUGCCACAUUUAGUCCCAUGUAAGUAAUAGCCAAAAAUCAUUCAUCUUGUUGAGAUAAUUAGAAGAUAAUUAGAAGAUCUUGUUGAGAUAAUUAGAAGAUCUAUGGUUGUAAGGACGAUUUUUUCAUGGAUCAUAUGUUCCUCUUUAAUUUGAAAUGAUUGCAUCCUUGAAUUGA